UAAUAUUUUGGGCAAAACAGACGAAAGUCUGCGACGCAAAGCUAUAGGACCUGUAAAAUGGUAGCCAGUUGUAAAA
rnacentral:ncRNA from 1 species